rnacentral:rRNA from 1 species
UACGUAGGGGGCAAGCGUUGUCCGGAAUCAUUGGGCGUAAAGCGCGUGUAGGCGGCUCGGUAAGUCCGCUCUGAAAGCCCGGGGCUCAACCCCGGGAGGCGGGUGGAUACUGCUGAGCUCGAGUCCGGAAGAGGAGUGUGGAAUUCCUGGUGUAGCGGUGAAAUGCGCAGAUAUCAGGAGGAACACCAAUGGCGAAGGCGGCUUCCUGGACCGACACUGACGCUGAGGCGCGAAAGCUAGGGGAGCAAACGGG